rnacentral:rRNA from 1 species
UACGUAGGGGGCGAGCGUUGUCCGGAUUUAUUGGGCGUAAAGAGCGUGUAGGCGGCCAUUUAGGUCCGGUGUGAAAACUCGAGGCUUAACCUCGAGAUGUCAUCGGAAACCAUUUGGCUAGAGUCCGGAAGAGGAGAGUGGAAUUCCUGGUGUAGCGGUGAAAUGCGCAGAUAUCAGGAAGAACACCAAUGGCGAAAGCAGCUCUCUGGGACGGUACUGACGCUGAGACGCGAAAGCGUGGGGAGCGAACAGG